GGGGCUGUAGCUCAAUGGUAGAGCAUCUGCUUUGCAUGCAGAAGGUCUCGGGUCCCAUCCCUGGCAGCCCUG